ACAUGCAAGUCGAGGGGCAGCGGGGUGUAGCAAUACACUGCCGGCGACCGGCGCACGGGUGCGUAACGCGUAUGCAACCUACCCAUAACAGGGGCAUAACACUGAGAAAUUGGUACUAAUUCCCCAUAACAUUCGAAGAGGCAUCUCUUUGGGUUGAAAACUCCGGUGGUUAUGGAUGGGCAUGCGUUGUAUUAGCUAGUUGGUGAGGUAACGGCUCACCAAGGCGACGAUACAUAGGGGGACUGAGAGGUUAACCCCCCACAUUGGUACUGAGACACGGACCAAACUCCUACGGGAGGCAGCAGUGAGGAAUAUUGGUCAAUGGACGCAAGUCUGAACCAGCCAUGCCGCGUGCAGGAUGACGGCUCUAUGAGUUGUAAACUGCUUUUGUACGAGGGUAAACUCACCUACGUGUAGGUGACUGAAAGUAUCGUACGAAUAAGGAUCGGCUAACUCCGUGCCAGCAGCCGCGGUAAUACGGAGGAUUCAAGCGUUAUCCGGAUUUAUUGGGUUUAAAGGGUGCGUAGGCGGUUAGAUAAGUUAGAGGUGAAAUCCCGGGGCUUAACUCCGAAAUUGCCUCUAAUACUGUUUGACUAGAGAGUAGUUGCGGUAGGCGGAAUGUAUGGUGUAGCGGUGAAAUGCUUAGAGAUCAUACAGAACACCGAUUGCGAAGGCAGCUUACCAAACUAUAUCUGACGUUGAGGCACGAAAGCGUGGGGAGCAAACAGGAUUAGAUACCCUGGUAGUCCACGCAGUAAACGAUGAUAACUCGCUGUCGGCGAUACACAGUCGGUGGCUAAGCGAAAGCGAUAAGUUAUCCACCUGGGGAGUACGUUCGCAAGAAUGAAACUCAAAGGAAUUGACGGGGGCCCGCACAAGCGGAGGAACAUGUGGUUUAAUUCGAUGAUACGCGAGGAACCUUACCCGGGCUUGAAAGUUAGCGACGGAUCUGGAAACAGGUCUUCCCUUCGGG
rnacentral:rRNA from 1 species